rnacentral:rRNA from 1 species
UGAGUAACACGUAUCCAACCUGCCGUCUACUCUUGGACAGCCUUCUGAAAGGAAGAUUAAUACAAGAUGGCAUCAUGAGUCCGCAUGUUCACAUGAUUAAAGGUAUUCCGGUAGACGAUGGGGAUGCGUUCCAUUAGAUAGUAGGCGGGGUAACGGCCCACCUAGUCUUCGAUGGAUAGGGGUCUGAGAGGAAGGUCCCCCACAUUGGAACUGAGACACGGUCCAA